ensembl:snRNA U6 U6 spliceosomal RNA
GUGUUUGCAUUGGCAGCACAUAUACUGAAACUGGAAUAACAGCGAAGAUCAGCACGUCCCCUGUGCAGGAUGCACACACACUCCUGAAAUGUUCUGUAUUUUU